rnacentral:ncRNA from 1 species
AUACGUAUAAAAAGAUAAGAGUUUGAUCCUGGCUCAGAAUGAACGCUUUUGGUUAGCUUAACACAUGCAAGUUGGUAUUUCUAUUAAUUAAUAGAAAUAUGGCGUACGGGUGAGUAAGACAUAGAAAUUUAUCCUUAAUUAGUUUUUUAAUAAAUAAUUAAGUUAUUUUUGGAAAAGUCUAUGUAAGAUUAAGUAGUUGGUAAAAAAAGCUUACCAAGCUUACAAUCUUUAGUUGGUCUUUGAGGAUGAACAACCACAUUGGAAUUGAGAUACGGUCCAAACUCUUUUAUAGAGGCAGCAGUGAGGAAUAUUGGGCAAUGAGCGAAAGCUUGACCCAGCUAAAUUAUGUGUGUGAGGAAAGUAAAUAACUGUAAAACACUUUAUUUAAAAUUAAAAUUAUGAUUAAUUUAUAAAAAAAGCCCUGGCUAACUUCGUGCCAGCAGCCGCGGUAAAACGAGGAGGGCAAGCGUUAUUCGGAUUAACUGGGCGUAAAGCAUACGUAGAUUGAAAAUUAGUUAGUUGAUUAAAUAUUAAAAUUAACUUUAAAAAGUUUACUAAACGUAUUUUCUAGAGUUUAGAAGAAGAUUGUAGAACUUUAAAUGUAACGGUAAAAUGUAUUGAUAUUUAAAAGAAUUUCUAGAGCGUAAGCAGCAGUCUAAACUAAAACUGACAUUGAGGUAUUAAAGUAUGGGUAGCAAAGAGGAUUAGAUACCCUCGUAGUCCAUACCUUCAACGAUGAGUGUUCAUUUUUAAAUUUUUUUGGAAAUAUAAUUAACAUAUUAAACACUCCGCCAGGGAACUACGAUCGCAAGAUUAAAACUCAAAGGAAUUGACGGGGACCUAUACAAUCAGUGGAGCAUGUGGUUUAAAUCGACAAUACGCGCAGAACCUUACCAAUCUUUGUAUAAGUUACAGGUGUUGCAUGGCUGUCGUCAGUCCGUGCUGUGAAGCGUUUGGUUAAUUUCAACAAACGGACGAAACUCUUAUGUAUUAAUAUUACAAACCGCUAAAGAUAUUUUAGAGGAAGGAAAGAAUGACGCCAAGUCCUUAUGACCUUAAUGGAUUGGGCUACUUUCAUGUGCUACAAUAAUUAGUUCAAAAAGUAACUAAAACGUAAGUUUGAGUAAUACUUUAAAAGCUAAGUACUAUUCUUAUUGUUUUCUGCAACUCGAAGAUAUGAAGAUGAAAUUGUUAGUAAUCGUAAAUGAGAAUGUUACGGUGAAUUCGUUCUUAGGUCUUGUACACACCGCCCGUCACGCUAUGGAAAUUCUGUCUAUUUGAAAACUUAUAUAAUAGUUUAUAAUAUAAGAACAACUGAAGUGAAGUCGUAACAAGGUAGCCGUAGGGGAACCUGUGGCUGGAAAAUAAAAUAAUUAUUAUAUCA